GCCUGUGUAUCUUGGAGAUGUAAGCAUAGUGCAAACACUGUGUCAUAUCUCAUGAGAUGGCCCUGCCAACUUUUUGUAGGAAACCACUAUUGACUGAGAUACCCAAGCUUCUUUUGAUUUUUGGAUAAAAACUAAUGUAAAUGGCUUCAAUCUUCAUUUACUGUUUUGUGCCAUGCUUAUGUAUAUUUUUGUUACCUAUUACAUAAUAAGUGUAUUUAUUUUAUAGGCAAAACAUUUUAAGGCACUGAAGUUAUGACAGUGAGGAGAUAAUAUAAGGAGCCCUUAAUAAAGCAAAGUUGAAAUGAACUACAUUCUUAGUAGGUAAAUGUUUCCUAAAGUCCCUUUAUAGGUCAGAAUUGGUGAACUUACUUAUAUUCCUAUGAUCAAUACUGUACACACAGUAUGGUAUUUGUGUAUUAAAUACUAUUUUCUGUGUCUACAACACUAUGUGAAAAAUAAUAUAAUUUCGUUAGAGAAAGAAGAAUCCAGGAAAGUGGUAUGGUAUAGUGGGUUAGAAUACGAUUUCAAAUCCUCACUAUGAUCACUCUGCUCACUUAGUAUCUGAUGUUGGGGUGAGUUUCUGUUCUUUAUUUCACCCUAUCUUUCUUUUUUUUUUCAUUGUUGGGGAUUAAAACCCCAAGCCUCAUACAUGGUGGGCAAGUACUCUAUCACUAAACUCUAUCCCCAGCCCAGUGUAAAUUUCUUCAGAGCCAUCUUCAGAUUUCUUCUUUGCAGUACUACUAGUAACAAUAGUAAACAGUUACUAAUAUUUAUUUGUAUGACAUUCAUUGUUUUAAGCACUUUGAAUUUAACACCUCUUACUCCUCACAUCAGCUCUCUGAGAUAGGCAAUUACAUGAUCACCAUCUGAGAGAUGAUGCAAUCCAAUCAAAGUCAAACAGCCAACAAGUGGGGGAGCCAGGUUACCUAAUUAUUCUGGCUCUAGAGAAAAGACUCUUAAUCAGAUCAUUGCCAUCUUGUCAGAACUAUUUGAUCAAUGUAUGUAAAACACUAUGCCUGGCCUUUUAAUAGUGAUUAGUAUUUUCUGAUUAAUAUAUCAUGUAAAAAUCACAGAGAUUAUCAACUUUGUGAAUUUUGUUGGCAAUAUUGUAAAAUACCAAAGUGUAAAACAAAAAAGAGAGAGAGAGAGAGAAUUAAAACUCUUUCUCCAAGUCUGUAAAUUGAUAAUAUAUGAUAAAUAAAUAAAUAACAUUUCGGUUCAUGUUCAUAUUUCUUUUAAAAUAGCAAGGGUGUAAAUUUUAUGGAUUUAGAAAUUGAUGAAGAAUAUUGAUUUUAAAAAGAACAAUUAAUAGUCUAGUAAAGUUUAAAUUCUCUGUUGUACUUAUUUGUAAGUCCAAUUCUAAUACUGAAAUUGUAAUUAUGCACACAUUAUGUAAAGGCAAAUAUAUACAAAAUGUC
rnacentral:lncRNA from 1 species